AGAGUUUGAUCCUGGCUCAGGAUGAACGCUAGCUACAGGCUUAACACAUGCAAGUCGAGGGGAAACGACAUCGAAAGCUUGCUUUUGAUGGGCGUCGACCGGCGCACGGGUGAGUAACGCGUAUCCAACCUGCCCAUCACUUGGGGAUAACCUUGCGAAAGUAAGACUAAUACCCAAUGAUAUCUCUAGAAGACAUCUGAAAGAGAUUAAAGAUUUAUCGGUGAUGGAUGGGGAUGCGUCUGAUUAGCUUGUUGGCGGGGUAACGGCCACCAAGGCUACGAUCAGUAGGGGUUCUGAGAGGAAGGUCCCCCACAUUGGAACUGAGACACGGUCCAAACUCCGUACGGAGGCCAA
rnacentral:rRNA from 1 species